AGAGUUUGAUCAUGGCUCAGAACGAACGCUGGCGGCGCGUUUUAAGCAUGCAAGUCGAGCGGCAGGGGGGCUUCGGUCCCCCGAGAGCGGCGGACGGGUGAGUAACACGUGGACAACCUGCCCCCCGGUUCGGGAUAGCCCAGGGAAACCUGGAUCAAUACCGGAUGCGAGGGCGGCCGCACAAGCGGCCGUCGGGAAAGGCGCUUCGGCGCCGCCGGGGGAUGGGUCCGCGUCCCAUUAGCUAGACGGUGGGGUAACGGCCCACCGUGGCGAUGAUGGGUAGCCGGCCUGAGAGGGUGGACGGCCACAUUGGAACUGAGACACGGUCCAGACUCCUACGGGAGGCAGCAGCUAAGAAUCUUCCGCAAUGGGCGAAAGCCUGACGGAGCGACGCCGCGUGAACGAAGAAGGCCGUGAGGUUGUAAAGUUCUUUUCGGGAGGGGGAACGAGGCUGCCAGGCAAUGGGCGGCCGAUGACGUGAAUCCCGGAAUAAGCCCCGGCUAACUACGUGCCAGCAGCCGCGGUAACACGUAGGGGGCGAGCGUUGUUCGGAAUCAUUGGGCGUAAAGGGCGUGCAGGCGGCCGCCAAAGUCCGGCGUGAAAGACCCAGGCUCAACCUGGGGGGUGCGCCGGAUACUGGGCGGCUUGAGUACAGGAGGGGACGGCGGAAUUCCAGGUGUAGGGGUGAAAUCUGUAGAUAUCUGGAGGAACACCGAUGGCGAAGGCAGCCGUCUGGCCAUGUACUGACGCUGAGGCGCGAAGGUGCGGGGAGCAAACAGGUUUAGAUACCCUGGUAGUCCGCACAGUAAACGAUGUGCACCAGGCGGCGGGGGCAACCUCGCUGCCGCAGUCAACGCAUUAAGUGCACCGCCUGGGGAGUAUGCCCGCAAGGGUGAAACUCAAAUGAAUUGACGG
rnacentral:rRNA from 1 species